AUUCAAAGUUACAAAAUAUUACAUAUGUUCCUCAACAAACAUUACAUUCCAAAUGUUUUUACAAUAACAUCUAAUCUUCCCUUAGAACUACUUCUGCAGCUUCGUUUAGUAACUGAUCAACAACUUUAUCCAUGAUGGCUUCGGCCAUUUUUCUAAUUUCGUCGUCCCCCUUCACGUGGGGGUCCGUCGAUGGCUCGGUAGACUCUGAGGGAGGAGAAAGUGCGGCUGUAUUACAAAGCGUAAACAAAUUCGAAAUCAAAAAAUUACAAGAAAGAGCCAAAAACUACUAGUCAAUACCUAUUUGCCUUUCGAGAUCCGCACUUUUCUCAGCGGCCUCUGCUACUUUUCUAGCGUCAUGAAUACCUUUCUCACUUUUUCGUAUAAUUUCUUGGGCCAUCUCCCGGCCACCAUUGUCCCAGAUGUCGGUGAAAAAUUUUCCACCGACCAGGCUCGCUUCGGCCGAGGGGUCUUUUAUAUUUCAGAAGAUAAGGCGGCUUCGGAUUGUGCCAAGAAUUUCACAUGGUCACAGCCUUUCCUCUCCAAAAUAGUGGCAAUCCCCCUAGCACCCGAAAAGGCACAGAUGUCUCCACGGCUAUUCAAAACUUCUUCAAAAGCUUCAGCUUCGUGGCUGAUCCAUCCAAUUGGGCCUUCGGGGUCACCCCUUAUGAAGUUUUCUUCACUUGAGAACGCGCCAACGCUGGCGAAGCUGGUUCUUAUUUUCUUAACACAUUCUAUAGAUUUUUCAUAACACUUUUUCUUGGAUGUACGAAGCUCUUCAAUGUUUUUUUCUAAAUGAUUGGCCCAUUGUUCACUAAUUUCUCGUUUUGUUUCUUCAAGUGUGCACUCUUCUUUAGCUCUGACUAGCUGUUUCCAAAGAUCCUCAAUUUCGCGCUUCUGAGCCUCAGCUUGAGCUUUGAAAGCAUCUUCGUCUUCUUUUAUUUUAUUCACUAACGAGUGUAAUAUUUUAUCUUUUUCGAGACCUUCGUUCCUUAGUUCAAUUACUUCAGAACGAAGGUUGCUCAAGGCUAUGGUACACCCUUCGUCUUCAGCAUCUUUUUGUGCCCUGAGGGCAUUGCUAAGAAUAAGGCCCUGGAAAAAAAAUGUGUGUUAAUAAGUUUAAGCAAAUGAAAAAAAAUUGGUUUCAAGAAAUAAUACAAAGAUCUCAUUUUUUCACCUUUAAACUAUUGUACGCUAAGCUAUCGGCCAGCUCGUUCUUUGACAACCUGAGAGCCCGUCUUCUAGUGUUGGGAAUCCGAAGCUUUUGCUCAUCUCCCGACAGACAAAAAUCUCCUUGCUGUCAGGGAGACAAUACAAGAAGUCUUCUUCUCCGCUGCCGUUGAAUAUCAACGCCCCCUUUGGAUAUUUCAGUUUUUGGGCAUAAAACUGAGCCUCUUGCUUUUCUUUUUCAGUCAACUCUUUCCCCGAAGCAUGUCGUAAAAUAUAAUUGGAAGCUUCAGAAAAUGCUUCAGGGGCGGCAGUGCCAGUUUCUUCAGUUAAAAUUUGUUCUGCUGCUUCUGUUUCUUUGGUUUCCAAGGAUUUCACCUUGGCGGGCUCUGAAGGCCCAGCUUCAGUCUCAACUUGGUGCUUUGAAGCUUCGACACCAAAGGCUUUGAUUUGUACUUCGGAAGUUUCGGCAAUUUUCUUCGGAGUAGUGCUUGAAGACUUUAUUGUCUCCAAUACAUCCAGUACAUUAACCAUCCUUUUCCUCUUGUGGGUCAAUGCUGGACCCUUUUAGCUUUUUGGUACUUCAACUUUUGCUGAAGGACUUAAAAUUUCAGAUGUCCUUGUUUCUUUAGCCUUCGGUUCUUCUAUUUUCUCUAUCAACGGCAUUAUGACCGGCUCUUCAAUAUCGGCAGGGGAGUCGUCUCCUUGGCUUCGGUGGCCGAAGAGGAUUCACCGACAAACUCGGGCACUGUGGCCGGUUCAAUAUAGCGUGGCCGGUGCGUAAGAACCUUUAUCUUUUUCCUCUUCGGCGCUGGCUCACUAAGAGCGGCUGAAGCAACUUCCUCCGCAGAAGCUGUAUCUUUCCUUUUUUGACCCCGCGUUGAGUAACGGUAGUCAGGAUAUACGAACCAAUGGCAUCAAAUACCCGGUUCAGCCUUUUCUUCUUCCAGCCUCCGAAGGCUGCAGAUAGUGCAGUAUCUUCUGCCUUUGAGUAUGGCCCAAGCAGCUCAUCGCUUAUGGCCUCAAUACUUUUCAGCCAGUCAUCAUCUGGCUCGACGAACUUAUCUCCAUAUUUGAAGGUGAAUUUUAACCUAACUAGUCCACCUUCGUUAGGUUCGCUGACGGUUUCCUUUGGCAUUUCCCACUUUUCUGCAAGCGGUCAUACUUUGAAGGCAAUGUGUUCUUGGAUCAAAUCCUUGUCCCGAUGAAAGAGCAAACCACGCCGAAGGCCCUCUGGCAUUCUUCGGCUGCUUCGUCAAUUUCCACCUUCGGUUUCCGAAGGCGAAGCGCUGCCAGAUAGGGCGCAUAAUGAUAUCUUUAAUAUCUUCUCGCGUUUUCAAGUCGUUCUUCACAUAGAACCAUUCCUUCAUCCAGUCCCCAGGCCAUCUCUUCCGAAAAGUUGGCACGGGACAACUUGACCCAGAGCGGGCACCGAAGCUGUAACAGCCAAAAUUGUUGUGAUAUUGCUCCUUACCCAUGGUUUGUCUCAUACAAUAACUCAUGCAUACUACAGAAACCUUUUGCAUUUGGCUCCAAACCUUGGCUUUUCACGGCCCAUACGAAGAUUCCCAUUCUUAUGAUUGCUUCGGGAGUAAUUUGAUGGAGGCAGAUUUCAAAUAUCUUCAAAACUUCUACCACGAAACUGCUCAAAGGAAACCGAAGUCCAGCCUUAAAGAAGCUUCGGAAUAUCACGACUUCAUUUUCCUCGGGAGUCGAACAAGUUUUCUCUCCUUCGUCAGCCCUCACAAUAGAUAAAUCCCGAAAAUAUCUACCCCUCAUAUUGACAAGAUGGCUUUGUUUAAUGCUUGAUUUUCCAAAAACUGCAUGGCUUGGUCGCCAAGGUCGAUCUUCGGAAUCUUCACCACCACUUUCCACAUCAUAGCUGUCACUGUCACCAGUGUCUUCAGAUAAACCCUCUAAAAUCUCCCUAGUAAUCUUCUCUGUAUUUGUCUUUGCUAUUGAUUCAAGGAAGCCGAGAUUCAUCUCUUCGAAAAGGCUUAGCUUUGACUCAGCGACAGCUUUCUUGUCUUCAGACAUCUUCGAAAAUGCUAAGAAAGUGCUCUCAAAGAUGAAGCUUAAAAAUUUAAAAAGCCAGGCAAGCGUUGGUGUGCAAAGAGCUAAAAAUUAGGAAGGCAAGAGCCGACGGCAAGAAAGCGUGCUAAAUGUGCUCGCGGUGCGUUCUUAUUUAUACGCCCAAUACGUCGCAAGUGGCAGGGCCCCACUUGUCAUUGACUAUUGCUAUUCUAGCAAAGGGAAGGUGUUUUUCGGACCUUCGGCUUAAGGCCUUUGUCCAUAUCACAAUCUGAAUUUAUUAUUCCAGCAAAUUAAUAUUGCGAGGGACUACUGUUGGGGGCCUUCGGCUUCCGAAGGUCCUCAAAAACAUGAUUUGACAAUGUUUUCCAAGUGAAAUAUGUGAACAGGUAUCUUCGGAUUCGGAUCAUGAGCAUAAGCCUGAGCGAGACGAAAGAUGAUUAUGACGAAGGACAAGGUGAUCACGAAGUUGUACGCAGGAAAGCUUCGCAUGACAGUAGAAAAGGGGAACCGACUUAAAGAUGAAAAGACAAAUUAGACCUCGAAGAAUUACUAUAAAGUCAUUAGCAAAUAUAAAGGGCAUGAAUGUAAUUUUAUAUGGGCUGCGCCCCUUGCCUAUAAAUAGAUGAACAGUAUUCCCGUACUGUUCACACUGACUUGGCAUUCGCUUUUUGCAUCACGCUUGUACCCUUGCUUUCCUUCAAACCGAAGGUACAUCUAUAAUUUGUUAUUGUAAAUAUGGUAAUGCAAAUAAAAUAAAUUGAUAAUAAUGUUUAAAUGUUUAUGUUAUUUUUCGUAUUUCGUAUAUGAAUUCUUCCUUAUCAUUUAUUGUGCUUAUGAAGGUUUUUCCUUCACAACCUUCAUCCGGAAUUCAUUAUAUCCGAAGGGAAAUAAUGUCUCGAAGGACGAAGGACUUUAACAUUUAACACUUUUUAUGUUGCCUUGUUCUUAACUCUUAGCAUUUGAGAACAAGUCCCCAACAAAUAGCUACAAGAGAAUGGAGAUGAGUAAAUUAGAAGUGGCAUACGUUGGAGGACUGCUCAGUUAGAAGCGUCGUUGUGCUCUUGGAAAGCUUGCCGACGAUGGAUGAUGCUGCCCCUUGCUGACGGGCACGAACACGCCCAGAGCCACGGAUACGCUCGCAGUCGCAGAGACGCACAUGCUUCCACUCCGGUCAGCGGUCUAUCGUCGACGGUCGACCCUUUGCUCCUUCCUCGGUUCCUCCCGUCCUUCGCCAGCCGCCAGCCGCCAGUCGCCACUCCACCAACCACUGGCCCAUACAGAUUAGGGUUGAGGACAGAGGACUACUCACUUGUCUUAUCAAUCGUCACUCAUGGUCGUGGGUUUGUCC
rnacentral:lncRNA from 1 species